GGCUUAGUGGGGAAAGCACUUGCCUUGUAAGCAGGAAGGCUUGAGUUAAAUCCUCAG
rnacentral:tRNA from 1 species